rnacentral:lncRNA from 1 species
UGAUAGUGGUAUAAAUUGAGUCCAAAUUUCAUACCUUCUAGGGCAGCAAGGUCGAUUCUGUCAGAUCGAUUGGUACCAUCCAAAUUUUGUGGUAUAAGGUCCCUGAAGNNNNNNNNNNUAAUAGUUUGGGAAUUCUUGAAAAUUGAGAAGUAUGUCGUGAUAAAUUUCAACAUAGUAGUUUAAGGUUACAAAAUACUUGUUCUAGUACUUAACUUGUUGCCAGUAUGAGUUAUUUUAAAUAUUUUUAUGCAUUGGAUUAUUCUUGGUGGAGCCUUGUACCAAUUUGACAUGGUGCAAAAUCAUGAUUCUCUACAGAUAGUGGUAUAAAUUGGGUCCAAAUUUCAUACCUUCUAGGGCAGCAAGGUCGAUUCUAUCAGAUCGAUUGGUACCAUCCAAAUUUUGUGGUAUAAGGUCCCUGAAGAAACUUGGGUAGUUCCAUAGUUCAAGUGCACCACAAGCUUGAUAUCCCAUUGAUAAUGUUUGUUUUUCAAAUCCUAUUUUUGAUAGCUGAUCUUCCCCCUUCAAACCAACCAACUCUCCAAUAUCGAUG